AUUGAACGCUGGCGGCAUGCCUUACACAUGCAAGUCGAACGGCAGCACGGACUUCGGUCUGGUGGCGAGUGGCGAACGGGUGAGUAAUGUAUCGGAACGUACCUUUCAGUGGGGGAUAACGUAGCGAAAGUUACGCUAAUACCGCAUAUUCUGUGAGCAGGAAAGCAGGGGAUCGCAAGACCUUGCGCUGAUUGAGCGGCCGAUAUCAGAUUAGCUAGUUGGUGAGGUAAAGGCUCACCAAGGCGACGAUCUGUAGCGGGUCUGAGAGGAUGAUCCGCCACACUGGAACUGAGACACGGUCCAGACUCCUACGGGAGGCAGCAGUGGGGAAUUUGGACAAUGGGGGCAACCCUGAUCCAGCCAUGCCGCGUGAGUGAAGAAGGCCUUCGGGUUGUAAAGG
rnacentral:rRNA from 1 species